GUCUGUCUUUGUUUUUAAGAAAUCAUGUAAAUGCAUUGACCAAUCAGAGAGGCUGACAGAUAUUCCAGAUGGCUGCUGCUUGAUGGAGUCAUGUUUCACAGCUCGUCUUCUGCAUGUGUUUGAGUCUCACUCUGACCGGCUGAAACACUGUUACCAUUCAGCUGAAGCCACACAAGAGCUUAACAUAUCGACAUCGGCCGAGUGUGUUUGACUCCAGGAAGAAAACCAGAUUGCUUUGGAGAAAGUUUGCAGAUUUCCAGAAGCCCGUCCUGGCGGUUUCUUGUGUUGAGGGGACAGAGGAAUGGCCAUACCGACCAUGACUGACUCCAGCAGGCUUACUGAGGUGUCCACACGGCCUUAUCUGGAUGCACGGACCUCAACGUCAGACACGGAGUGUGGAGAGGAGCCUGAUCUCCAGCCAAGAGCUCUGGAGGAACCUCAGGCAGUGGGUGCAGAAGACACUGGAACAUCAGACAUCAUCGUGUCGAGGGGUGAGGAAUAUCAAAUGUCUGACUUUACAAGUAAAGAAGACAACAACAUCCAGUCGAGCAUCAGCAGCAGGUCAGAUGCAGAAAGAGAGAAGAAAUCUACUGCUUGCUGCUUCAGAAAACGUCACAGGAAACACCGAACAGAGAUUACAGACACGAGGAAAACAAGGGAGACGUGUAGAAAAGACAGCGCAAGAAUGAAAAGAAAUUCUCCAGUGGUUUCAGACCAGAAGACCAGCGGCUCCUCAAGAUGCCUCAAAGAUCAAGACGUGUUCUCAUCCCGACCUCAGCAGGUCACUCCAGAUCUCCAUCUGUGGAAAUAUCCUCAAGAUGCUGGUGUUUCCCGUCUCUGCCUUCACAAGCUGGAGGUCGACGUUCCUUCGACCUUUGAGUCUCGCAGUUUGGAACCAAACCUCGACUCUGAGUUUGCAUAUAUUUACGCUGAAAGCAUCAAAGGAUGCGACUCUUCCUGUUGCACUACUCCAGGAGACUGUAAUACCCACAAUCCCUUUGUCAAAACUGAACGAGAGGCUGAAUCUGUCUGGAACAGCUUUGAGGAAGAAUCUGAAGACUCCGAUUGGGAUUUAUACAUGUCUGCGCACAGUACAGUGGCUACUGCAGGUUCCAGAUUGAACGCUGAGCGCUUUGGGUCUUUAGAUGACUUUGACUUGACUUGUAUUUAUACAGACUGGGAAAGGAGAGCCGACAGUGCAGAAACCGAGCAGGGUUACAGUCCCGCCAAAGCGGAGUGGGGCUCCGAGAGUUCAUGUUCCACCGCUGACAGACAAACCAGCAGCUCGGAUUCAGACGGCUGCCGUUUAGAGGCUCUCGGUGACAUCAAAUGUCCAGACGGAUGGCCUGAAGUGUUUCUGCCAGGAUUUGAGGGCUGCUUUGACUGCUGGGAUGUAGUUGAAGACGUCUGCAGAGGCACAGAGAGCGAUUCUGAGGAUACAGGUGAACUGUGGGGUGUCGUGACUCAAAUGGACCGCCGGCAUUUCUCUGAUUUUUUCUGUGAAAUGAUUAAAGAAGUGAUGCAGGAGAAAGACACAGAGAAAAUGAAUGUAAAUGAGGGGUUUCUGUUCCACCCUAAGCAGUUCCUCCAGGUGAAGAACUCCGAAUAUCGAGAGGGUCGUGAAUAUUCAUUUCUCCGUCACAUUCAAAACGGUUCAUAUGGAGACGUCUUCAGCAUUCGGGACAAACAAACAGGAUUUACAUGUGCCGCCAAAAA
rnacentral:lncRNA from 1 species